AUCGCUUCUUGGCCUUUUGGCCAAGAUCAAGUGUAGUAUCUGUAUACAUCAAGCACAUCUUCAGAGCUGCUCACCAGGCCUGCUGUGUCUGAGGACAGCCAGGUGCUCGGGAAGGAUGCCCCAUCUCUGCAUCACCCAACUGCCU
rnacentral:snRNA from 1 species